rnacentral:rRNA from 1 species
AUGACUAGGGAUAACCUUAGGAAGAGAUACAUCAUCAAACCCCUUGAUUGUGUUUACUGCUUGGAACAAGAGUCUUGUUCUCACCUAUUUUUUGAAUGUAUAGUUGCUAAACAUCUCUGGUCCCACAUUGAGGAAUAUUUCUCUAGUCAGAUUGUCUCAUCCUUCGAAUCUGUCGCUAGAUUCUGGAUUGCUACCAAAAAGUGCUCAGUUUUAAACACCGUUAGCUCAGCUGUCCUUUGGUGCCUCUGGAAAUAUAGAAAUGCUAUGAUUUUCAGUAACACCUCCUGGAUUUCCAUUCCGCAGGUCUUGAGGUUGAUGAGGAACAUGGUGAGGAACUGGGCGAUUCUCUCCUCCGGAUCGGACAAGGACAAGUUGAUGAGCUUCGUGGAAACCCUAACAAGAUCCCUCCAGAAACCGUUGGCAAUCACUUGUGGCUGA